rnacentral:rRNA from 1 species
GAUGAACGCUGGCGGCGUGCCUAAUACAUGCAAGUCGAGUGAACAGACGAGGAGCUUGCUCCUCUGACGUUAGCAGCGGACGGGUGAGUAACACGUGGAUAACCUACCUAUAAGACUGGGAUAACUUCGGGAAACCGGAGCUAAUACCGGAUAAUAUAUUGAACCGCAUGGUUCAAUAGUGAAAGACGGUUUUGCUGUCACUUAUAGAUGGAUCCGCGCCGCAUUAGCUAGUUGGUAAGGUAACGGCUUACCAAGGCAACGAUGCGUAGCCGACCUGAGAGGGUGAUCGGCCACACUGGAACUGAGACACGGUCCAGACUCCUACGGGAGGCAGCAGUAGGGAAUCUUCCGCAAUGGGCGAAAGCCUGACGGAGCAACGCCGCGUGAGUGAUGAAGGUCUUCGGAUCGUAAAACUCUGUUAUUAGGGAAGAACAAAUGUGUAAGUAACUAUGCACGUCUUGACGGUACCUAAUCAGAAAGCCACGGCUAACUACGUG